CUCUCAAACCAGGCAGCUUGGGAGAUUUUGAACAUUAACUGCUGCUCCCAAGCAAAAGACUCUACUUUCAGUUUCUGGGAAACUGACUACAUUUUAAAUUUUCUUUGAUUGCAUGUUUUAAAUGACUUCCAGUUGGGGGCACUGUUAUCUGGGGAAGGCUGGCUUGGGUGCCCUCUGGGGCUUUUUGGGCCCAGUUCCACUAGGGGACACGUUGCCCAGCCUACCUGUGGGGUAGGUGGCUCUACUUUCCGUUUCUUCUUCUGGUUCUGCUUGUUGGUUCGAGGAUACACCAUGAGCAUCUCUAACCACCUGGGAAGACAGAUGAGAAAUAGUACCAGGAAGCCUGGAUCUUAGAACUGUUCCAUGUCAGCUGAUAUUUCGGUCAGAUACUUGAGGCUGUGUGUGUGAAGGGAGUGAUUCCUACAACUUCACUAGAAUCCUAAAUCAAGAUUAUCUUCCCACAAGGACCUCAGAAACAAGUGUUCUUCAUUUACCCAUGGACAAGACACAUCGUAUUUCUGAGACAGAAAACUAUCGCUAUGAGGAUUGUGAGAACUGAGUGACAGAAGCUGUGCCGACAGCCAGUCGUGACCAGAUGAAAGGAACUGCAAAGGAUGCCUCUUCUUCUCUACUGCUGGAACUCCAUCCCAGUCCUUGGGAUGAAAACACUGACAACAAUGGC
ensembl:processed_transcript 1700007J10Rik RIKEN cDNA 1700007J10 gene